GCUUCAUGAUCCUUGAAGUCCCUUCCAACCUGAGCCAUUCUGUGAUUCUGCGAGAUAGUGGGGCACAGUAUAACUGUAAUUAAUAAUAAAAAAACACCCCUAUUUUUGUUGUUCAGGAGGCAUUUCUUACAGUUUAACCUGCAGGGUUUAGCCUCUGACAGCACUGAUUGGCUUGCAAAGACUCUUUCUUGUAUUCUGAUAUUCUGGAGGAAGUGUAUUGGAAGAGACAGAGAGGGAACAAAUGAGGCAGCAGCGCCAUGCUGACUAAUUGGGUGUAUCUGCAAACAGCAAAGAACCCCAGCACUGCAGUCAUGAAAAUUCUCAAAGCCUGGAGAUCUAAACGAUGUCGGCAGCUGGGAAAGGAAGCUGCAAAAAGGGAGAACUCCUUAAAAACAUUUUGAUUACGGAUGCACACAUCCCAUUUAAAAGCAAAACAAAGAAACCCAGAGCUGUAGCUCAAAGCGCCUUCCUGAUUCCCACACAGCUUACUGAGCACAUAACACACACAUCCCACUGCCCAGAUAAACCACCCUGAGAGAGCAGGGCUGCUGUGCAGGUUUGCAGGCCGUGUGUCACACAGUGCUCAGCGGACCAUCACUUGAGGCCCCGUGCUCCUGCUGGGCUCAUGGGGACUGCAGGGAGCUCGGUUUCUCUAUUACUGUCAUUUGUUGACAUCAAGGACUAGGGGUUAGAAAAGAUGUUAUUUCUGGGACUCAACCAAAUGCUGCUUUAUUGGCAGCUGCCUUCUGUUUAGUUGCUUCUUUGUAAAGGGAAGAAUAUUGUCUUUGUAGCUCUUUGUGGCUUAUGUUUUGGCUGCACAUCAGAUCUGGCAGCAAAAGGACCAGUUUAACGCCCUUUGAAUGAAAUGCAGGUAGCCCAUUGUCCCCUGCUCUUCCAUUCACGCUCAAUGACGUUUUACUUACCCUUGGCUGCAGGAAAUUCAAUGUCUUGGGGGUACUGUGGAAAGGCAGAUUCAGGACAUGUCAGUUGAGCUAUGAUAGGAAGCUGUUGUUUUCCUUUUCUGAUAUGUACCAGGUGGAUGGGCUCUGUAACCAGGGGUAGGGCUGCUUGGGCUGUUCUGGUUGUUUGAAGUGUAGCAGAGAGGGAGAGCCUGUUUGUCUUCUUGUAGAUGCUGUGGAAGGAUGAGGACCUUGCACCUUCUGUCAGUACUAGAUUAUAUUCUCAGUUUGGGAAGCCUUGCAGAGGAAAAGAAGAGCAGAGACAUGGAGGGAGUCUCCAGCAGAAGAGACAAGAGUCCCUCCCCUUUCCAUAAAGACAAAGUGAGGAGGGAAAAAGGCUUUGCUUUAAAAUUUUACUACUGGCUGCUGUUCUAAGCACAGCUCAGGUUUUGGUCUCUGUUUAAGGAGAGGGCUCAUUUUAGAACCUGGUAAACUAGAACAUACUUUGGUUCGGUUUCUUGGGGUAUUCUGAUGUGCUCUGAAGCACCGUGACACAGUUACAUAACGCUGUGCAUUUAAUUUGUCUGCAGAAUUGUUAUUAGCAGCAUCAGACUAAAAGUUUUCUUGGAGAGUGUCACCUGCAAUCUGCUGCAAAAUCAUUUUCAUGGCAUUGAGGUGUUUGGUGUUUCUUUCUUGAGGUUUUCGCUAACAGCCCAAACAUUUACAAGCCUGUGAUACCGUGGCAUUUCCAAAGAGACUUUUAAGUGCCAGUGGAAAGGGAAGGAAUCUCAGUGGUCAAAAUGAAGAAGCUACUAGAUUAUGUAGGAACAAGUUUCAUUGCAGUCAGAUACCAGAAGUCUUUAUGUUAUGCGUUUGAUGCUUCUCUUACUUCUCAGCUUUACUUCUCAGCUCUAAAUGCUGCAGUUCACUACAUUUCAUCCAUCAAUCAUUAGAUAAAUCUAGAUGUGAAACUAGUUUGCUAUCGAGGAGCUGGGCUAUGGAAGGGGAGAUAUCCAUGGGAGCUGGAGGAGAAUUUCUGCUUUCAAAACUUAAAUGGAAGAAAAGUCCUUUAAACCCUGACCUUGAGCUCCUGGAUUUCCUUUGUUCAUGUUCUCUUCUAGGAGCCACAUACUGGCUUUAUUUACACUCAGUGAAAUGAAUCAAUGUGUGACUCUCCUACACACAGGCAUAUGCUAAUUUCUGGUUGAAAUGGUUUUUUAUUUGUGUGUGUGUGUUAUUCUGCUACCAAUACUGUCAGAGGGUUUCUGAGUAGUCUGUAUUUAUUUAAUGCUUUUUAAAGUAUUUUGGUGCUUUACAAAUGUACUUACAUGCUUUGACUGCAUUCCCAAAGGACAGAUGCCUUGGGAGGAAAUAUAGACGCAUAUCAUAGAAUCAUAGAAUGGCCUGGGUUGAAAAGGACCACAAUGAUCAUCUCGUUUCAACUCCCCUCUACAUGCAGGGCUGCCAGCCACCAGACCAGGCUGCACAGAGUCACAACCAGCCUGGCCCAAAUCACCUCUUAGUGUGAGAAGGAGAACAGCACUUCAGCUAACCCUAAGGACUCUAAUGGCUUGGAGAAGCUGGUCUGAUGUACAGAGACCCCAUCUAGUGACCUGUCCUUUUAGAAAUCAUACACAUCUAUUUCCCAUGUCUUGUGAAUAUCAAAUACUGAGCCAAAGCAUUAGUUCAGCAUGGAGGCAGAUAAGUUGUGUCACAUCUUGGCACUGGGCGAUCACUGAUGCAGGGCCCAUCCUAUGCUUGACUUGGAUUAGCAGGGUGUAACCUAUGAAAUAAUAUGGCCCUGGGCUCCUAUUGAGCAGGAAGAGACUAAAAGUGUGGUAAAGAGAUCUGCUGUUUCUGUUCGUGGGAAAUGGGUUUAUCUAUCGUCAUGUACCUACAGGUUGGGUCACUAAUUAAAGCUGGCUUCUGCAGGAAGCUCUGCCUCCCAGAUGAAAAAAUGGGCGCUGUCAGUUCACUGAAUCAACAGAGUUCAGCUGUGUUCUGCCUCCAGCCUGGCCUCCUGCAGGGGCUGAUCCCCUCUCGUCCUAAAAAGCAGCCAAGCAUUGCCUUUGUUGGAUGCCAGGAGGAUGUCCCACCCAAGUCAUCAUCCCCUUCCACCUGCACCAAGUCACUGAGUGCUAUUGACCACAUGGCCACUGUUGGCAUGUUGGACUAAAGGUGGUGGUGUGUAUGAAGGCUUGUGUGGGACACAUGUGUCCCUUUACUGACCUUUGCUUGCCAACUAUUCAGUCUGUCACCUGUGUGAGUGAGACCACGCUGUGUGUUUCCUACUCCUGAUGCAGCUCUGAGAAGACCAGCUUCCACAUCCUCAAGGUAGGGUUUUUUCCCCUGUGUUUGUCUAAGUCUUAGUUAGUGGCUCCUCACCAACACAAAACACGUUGUUAUGCUUUCUCUGCAAUACCUACACACCACCAAAGAGAUGUCACACAAAGCCUGGUUAGAAUAGUUUGUGCUGUGCAGUUGAUCUGCUGUGUAUCUGCUGUGAACCUUUCAAGUUCUGCCGCCUUCAUCACUCCAGGAGCUGGCAUGCAGUGAACUGCUACUGCCCAGUUGUGCUGGCACAGGUAGGGGCCCAGCAGUCACAAGCAGCAGACACCAUUAUUUGCAAGCAGCGAUGCAGGAAGAACGUGCUUCUGGCUGAAACGAGCAAAUCAUUUGUUAAUCUCUUCAAAUGCAGACUAUUUACCUGCUAGCUUGAAGUUAACGUGCUAGUGGAGUAUGUGCAGGGCAGCAUACACAGGUUCAUGGGCAGAAAUCGCUGCUUCUCACUUCUCUGUUUUUCUCUGCUUGCGGGGAUUCAGUUUCUUAUUUACAUGCUUUCAAAUAGAGGACACAAAUUAGCUGUUCUACAACUAAUGCUGUCAUUCUUCUUACAUGCUUUGGAAUAGCAGUACUCGAGUACUCCUCCUGUGCAGUAUCCACAAGCAGUUAUUCACAGUUAAGCCCUCUAAGAUAGAAAAUUGCACCAAGAAAUCCAUAAGCAAUAAGAACAGCAAGGGUCAGUCUGCCUUACUGUGAAGAAUGACAUGGUGCGGGAUGCCUGUCACCUUUUGUUCCUUCUCCUGUUAAAGCCUCAGCCUCGGCUCCCCGUGUGCUCUCAGUGAAACCAGAAGGGUUGGAUUCAAAAUACACUUCAGUCCUAGAAUUACAUUUUGCUGCCUUCUACAAAAACCCGUGUAAUCUUUAUGGUUUUUUCAGCUCCAUCCGACAGGUUUUCUUUUCAGACUGCUCUCAAAAUAAGAGCUCUUCCUUACUCCAGAAAGGUGCUACAAGUUGGCUACAGAAAUCCAGACCGCGGUGAUGUUAAGUGACCAAGUGAAGGCUGGUAUGAAACAAAAGGUCAGUGCUGCACAAAGCUUCCUGCCUUGCUGGAUGUAUGCAAAUUGCACCGGGCUAACAAGUUUCAGUGCCUGUGAACUGACACAAGUUCCUUAGGCUGUUUAAUUUCCUCUCUGCUAUCAAGCAAAUGCUGGUGAAACCCCCCCAGAAUGCACAAUUCAGUCACAGACCAGCACUGUCAUCUUUAACACACUGUAACUCUUUAUAAACAGCUUUAUUGUUUCACACAACAAAAGUGAUUAGAAAGAGCAGGUACAAUAUACAACUUGGUUGCUUUGGGAUGUGCAGGCGGUCGGUCCUGUGAAUCCUGAGAUGUUGCAGGGUUUGGGAUCCGGGCACAGAGCACUGCUGCAGCUGUGGAGCAAGUGGGCGAUUCCUGCACGUGCACAGCUGAGGCAGUGGAAUUGGCUUUACCUUCAUCAUCCAGACCAAGAACAGCCAAGGCAAGGAGCUGGUUCCGACUGACAGGGUAUGUUUGCUGUGGGUCCACCUUACCCGAGGUGUCCGUGUGGGUCAGCAGUUGUUCAGUAGUUGUGGCAGUUGAGAAUUGCUUCCAUGAAGCUCAAUGUAAAGAAACCAAACAAACCCACAGUAUCACGUUGUGCUGAUACUUUUGAAUCCAUAUUACCUAGCAAAUGAGUGAGGACUUUAUAUUUUACCUAUAGAAUAAUAACAUUAGGAUAACUAACAGAAGAAAUAAAGGUAGAACAGACAAAAAAAGUGUAUCUUUGGAUGCUCGAUCCAUACUGAUGUCCUGUACCUGCAGGGUGCUACCAAACACUGCCUGCGUGUCUCUAGAGGCUGUAGCAUCCACGUAGCCUUUGGGUUCCUUGUACUGAUGAAGUCCACAAAGAAAGAUUUGUGUGCAUAUGGCGUAUGAAAGUACCUGUUUGGAACUAUGAUGGCAAGACCCGAGGCUGAAAAUCAAAACCAGAAAACACAAAGUGAGCAGCGCAACUUGAAGGCACCUGCAGAAUUCACAAGUAAGUGCUGUUUAACUGACAAGUACCUUCAUUUAUAUAACCAUGGAAGGUAAUGAAGGAGAAGCUCUGCAUGCAGACGGAAUGAAGGUAACACCUCUGGCUAUCGUGCACACCAGGCAGACUAGCCAAAGAAGCAGGACUUACACAAGUCUGAUACAGGCUGCUCGGUUCAAACACUUCUAGCCAGCCAUCGUUUUAAACUUUAAUGCAGACUGGAACAGUUGUGCUCACCAACAGAGGAUAAUUUAAUAUUUAGCUUAUUCCUGGAGCUCAUCAUCUUCAGCUCCUGCUGCUGCAGCUGGGCUCCAGAAACAGGUCUGCUUAAAGCUCACAGGAAUCUAAAGCAAAUGCAGUGUAGUUGGAACGCUGCAGAAGAAAAGAAGUAAAAGAAAGAUGAGCUAUUGUCGGAGUUAAGAAUAAAUUCUAAAUUCAGCUUAUCUAGCAAAGGGCUCAGACUUUUCUCUUCUGCCUCAUCCAAGGAAGUCUUGCACUUGUUCCUUGGAAAAGCAGAGAUGAGAGGAAGCAUUUCAGGAGUUAUCGGUGAACCUUUUUGCUGUUUUUUUUAAUGCAGAAAUGCUGAUCAUGCAGACUUUCCUCUCCAAAGAUGAUAAAAUGCCGUAGGUUGUUUGUUUGAAAGGACUGCUUCUUUACUCCAAACAGACCCCAAAUACCUUAAGAGGAACACAAACAAGAUUUCAAGUGUUGUGAGAACCCAGAAGAGAUGUACUUCUGGUGCUGCAUUUCAGACUGAGGGAUGCUUUGCUUUCAGAGAAGCCGACCAAGUGUUUCAUGCUCUGGUCAGUGCGAUCGCUGAGCUCCCUGGGCACAGCUGCAGGGGGAAGGAAGGAGCCUUUGGCAACUCGGAAAAGAAUGAAAGGGAUGAAGCAGCCAGGAAACAGUGGGCACCAUCUUUUGUCCUCUUGUGUAAAGGGAGAGGCAAUGGACAAGAGUCCAUCUCUGUAAUUCUAUUCUCAUUACUUACACAGUCCCUGUGCUGAGCUGCAAGUUAUUAACUCAGCAUCCUAUUGCAUGGUAUGAGCUUUGCACAACCACAGCAGAAAGCAGUAGUCUGCUUAUGGUUAUACCAUUGCCAUGAACGCUUGCUACUAUCUGAAGAAGAAAACCCUUCUGUUAGAGGGUGCAAUCACUUUUAAGAACUAUCUGUGAUUAUAGUGAUCUUCUCCACUCUAUUCAGAUGCACAUACUGAAUUUGCAGUUGUUUACUGUUAGUCUUAUAAGGUUCCGCUCACUGUUCUUUCAAAGAAAAUAGCUGCAUUUUGUGAAACAGGUAGGUCCUGUAGCAAAAUCUGUUAUGACUAAAUAAUCCUGUUUCAUUGCUUCACAUAUAAAUCUGUUUCAGAAUUGACACAGAUGAAUUCCAAACAGGUAUAUUCACAGAGGCUGAGCAAAGCAGUUUUCUGUAGGUAUUAAGGUAAGACAGUUGGUACAGUUUGGCAAGUCAUCAUUUGCCUCUUUACCAUUUUGUGUUCUGAGGUGACUUGAAGAAGGCGGUGGAUGUGCUCAGUACACAGCUGUCAGCGUGCAGCCUCUGCCUCCUGCUUUCAUGCCUUCUUUCCUCCUGACUCAACUUCACAUUGCAGGAUGAAGCACAGAGAGUUUAUGGGAAACUGUAUAUGAACAAUAUAAUAAAACUAUGGUGGGUUUGGACUAUGGUGUGUUUUUUCCCUUCAGAGGUUUCCAGAACAGCAUAACAUCCAGGACAAGUGAAAUGAUGUCUGCAUGAAGCUUCAGUUCGUGACAAAACAGCCUGUCACUGCAGUAAAAAGCACAGGGAGGUUAUCACUUUUACAGCCCAACAUCCAACUUUUAGUCUCCUUAAAGCAAGGUGUGGGGAGGGGGGGGGCGACUUCCAAAGGAACAAAGCUGGCACCUUCUUUUCUGUGGUGUAUACCGAGAACCCAAGAAGAAAAACCAUUCAAUCCAAACUACUUGACCAGCUGCACACACUGACACCUCAAUGAAAAGGAAAAAUGAAUAAAGAGUAGAAGGAGAUGGAAAACAUAUCCUUGUGACUGCUGGCUGCAAGAGCUUUUAUUCAAGAGUGGCUCUUAGCAGCACUGUUACAGUUUGUUUUCUUCGAAAAGCUGCACAUAAACCCACUGCUGCACAAGUUUGCCACAUAAAACUCGCACUGCAAGUAUUCUCCAAGUUUAAUCUUAGUCACUCUCCUUUCCAGUGUGGACCUCCAUAAAGUAUACACAGAGGCAUUCUCACGUAAGGUUCUGAGCUGCUUAUACUACAACUGUACCUUCAUACAGCAGUUCUGCCACAGCAGCUUUUGUGUUGAGCCGCUGCUUAAUGCUUACGCUGCUUUUGUUUCAGGAGGAGGAUUAUAACCAGGUAUUUAAGUGAUGAAAUAAACAUCUGGUGCCAGUAAACACAGUUCAUUUUAAACAGCGUCAUCUAAAAACGUUUCCAUUUGUUUUCUAUGUUUAAAAGUACCCGGGAGCAUACAAAAUUAUUUCCAGCGCAAAUUAGCUCCCAUCUCUCUGUGACAUUAAGAGAUUACUUCAAUUAGACCCUCUCUUUGCUGCUCCGCUGACGACUGACUGCAGUAACUACAAUAUGACAAGGAGAUUAUCAAUUCAUUUGUCUGGGCUCUUCUAACUGUGUGCAUCAUGCAGGCAGUGCGAAUGGGUGCUGUCAGUUAUUGCGCUGGUGCAAUUCUUAAGGCGCCAUUAAUAGCAGUUUUCUUCCGCGGUGAGUCUUUGUACCGAUACAGUCACUGUCAGUUAAAAAAUAUGUUCUUACACCUUGGAGAUUUUUAUACACCUUGUAGCACACCCACAGAAGGAACUGCAAUGACUGCAACGCAAACAGAGCAACACAAUGAGUUGAACAUAAACAGGCUGUUGUAUUCAAGAAGCCAAUGGAUCGCAGACAUGCCAAAAGAAGAAAAUCAUGCAAGAUUUGAACCUAUUCAUCACACUCCAAUGGAGUAGAUAAAAAGUACUUAGUAUUACUUUUGGACCACUAUAUUUGCACCAGGGCUCUCCUAGGGUGCUGCCUGUGCACUACUGAAGAGCAGCUCAAGUUCUCUCAUUUAACAGCCACAUCACUUCUCGCUCAAGACACAAAACUGACUCAAAACAGAAAUCAGGUGUAAUUAAGGACAGGAUGUUGUCACAACCUUCCCAGGCAAUUCUUAUUUUUCCUCAAAGCCUCAGCUUGCACCCAGCAAUAGGUUUGACACUUGGAAACAGGGAAGCGCUGUAUUACCCAACUUACCUUUCCUACAACACAGCCAUGUUGUGCAAGGAUCACACAGUUUGCUUGAGGAAAUAACAGGUGUGCAUGCUCUAGGAAUGAAGCACAGUUUCAAUUCCAAACAAUUUUCAAAGCUGUUUUAAGUAAUCACCUUGUCGUUCUCUCCUCCUCUUUAGUGCUGGUCUAUUAGCUUUGUGCUUCUAACUUCUAAAUGAUUAAGAAUCAACAGCUCUUCCUCGAGUCUUCCAAAGAGUUGUACAGCAACUGCAUGAGCAGAAGUUGUUCAAAUGCAUGAAAGAACACUGAGGACAUUUUACAACCCCUGUGGCAGCGGCAGGGUGCACGGUCCGCACCUGACUCACGCAGCAGCACAACCAACCUGGACUUCUCAUCUGACUUCAAAAUUAAACCGACCAAUUGUCAGGCUACAGGAUAUUGAGCCGGAUUUGCAUGCAAACAAAAUCUCUAAGUGAGCUGGAAUGAAGGAAAAAACACAAUUCUCCCCUUUUGGAACGGCAGAAAAUACUGACUGCCUUCCACCAACCGUGAAUGCAGCUCUAAGUUACUGGCUUAACGUUGGUAUUAUCCCCACUCAGAUAUUUCUUACAUGAGCUUGCAGCAGGUUUACAGUGCAAAAUACCCAGACCUGUUGGAAUAGGCAGAAAGGAAUUCAAACUUUAAUCUGAUUGGUUUAAUUUUUUUUUUUUUUUAGCAGGAGGAAAAAGAAUAAAGUUACAAGAUUCUUUUAAUAUUUUCACAAUGUUAAACUAAAACUGAGCUCUAGGCUACAUGUGUAAGUAAAUCUAGAACACAAAAGGGUUAAAUAAGAUCUUCUUUUAAGAUACAAGAACUUAAGCUUUCUUUACGCUUAACAAACUUCACAGAACAGAUACUGCAAAGGAACAACCCCGUCCCCAACUUCUUUGUUUAAAGUGAACAUUGUCCAUAAUUCACACGAACUUUUACGUAGCGUCCUCGCGAGAGCCACCUUGAAACCAUCUGUGCACUUGCAAUGAGUUUAAAGAGAACGUUAAGGAGGAACAAAAUAGCAUCUUCAGUAUUAAUGCAGAGAAGUCUCGCGUGUCAUUCAGAAUGCCCAUCAAAUGCUAUGAACAGGGUUUUGUAGGAAAAGAAAGUGCGUAUCACAGCAGCAGCUGGAAUCCAUGCUUUUAGAAACUCUUCACAGCAAAUAUAAAUCAUAUCCUCGGACGGCCCCUUUCAGCUGGACCGCUUCCUGAAAACGCAGCACUUUACUGAAGGUUUUGCUGCUGGCUUCGUAUUCUUGAAUAAUAACUAUAAUAACAAUAAACAAUAAAAAUAAAAAUCACUCGCCUUUUGGGUAGCUUGCGUGUUAUAGCGAUGGGACACUUCUGAUUUGCUUCCUGGCUAACUUACGCUAAUACAGUCAGAUGCCGAACGUGUGGGUGGAGAUAUGUUUAAAUUUUUCUUUUUAAAUCAGUUAUCUCCUUGUUAAAUGCUUCUACCGGAGUAACAACGUGACUCGGCCUAUGAGGAGUUAGUUACCUGCACCAAGUGGAAUGGAGGAUGACUCAUCCGAGCGUUCUCCCGCCACGCUGGGGUUUUCCAAGUGAUGGUUACUUCACCUCUCUGAUGUUUUCUCUACCUGCCCGGUAUUUCAAAAUGAGACAAAAUCUUUUCCCUCCCUCAGAUUUUCUUACAGAUGUACCUGAUCGUUACCAUUCGCCUGGGAUUAAGCUGGGUCACUCCAGUACAAAUCCUUUUUACUUGCAUUAAGCCCUGUGUGCAGCAGGAGACGUGCUGAAUAUUCUUUUUGCUUUUUGUUCACAAACUGACGAGACCGGUGCCAUUCGGUUCAGCUCAGUGUGACAUACCGUAAUACAGACCCACAGGUCUAAACAGAGCCCAAGCAUUCUACUCCAUGUGAUGCUUUUCAUGUUCACUUUCUAUACCGUCUUUGCAAUAGAUUCGGGCAGAGAUGUUUGUGAGAGCGUUCAGCUGCAUAGAGACAGGGCUGGUGUAACCCAUGUGAUUAUCUCAUUGACACUCUGAUGUGAGGAAAACAAGCUCAAUCUGAUUCAGGGUGUUUCACUGGUUGUUCCCCAAUACUGUUACUGAAUUCCGUUUGCUACAAAAUGUCCUUUUUUUUCCCCCCAAUAUAUAAGUCUAGCUACAGAAAGUCAGUCUGUAGAAUCCAGCCAUGGCUACUGUGCUGUGAAUUAGCCUUAUUUGAUCAAUUAUCAGAUACCUGCACUUAGCAAAAGGCAAACAAGAGCCAAUCAGGUUUCGGCCGGUGGGAAUGGCUGCACCAUUCUGUGGUGGGUCUGUGCAAUCUUCACAUGACCCUCAGAAUCUCUGUGGAUGCUAUGUAAAAUGUAUGCACCAUUUACUGCUCUGGGAUGGAGUUGGCUUUAAAGUGUGAUCUUAAUUUAACUGAGGAAGAAAAAAAAAA